UGGGGAAUAGUGGACAAUGGGCGCAAGCCUGAUCCAGCCAUGCCGCGUGAGUGAUGAAGGCCCUAGGGUUGUAAAGCUCUUUCACCGGUGAAGAUAAUGACGGUAACCGGAGAAGAAGCCCCGGCUAACUUCGUGCCAGCAGCCGCGGUAAUACGAAGGGGGCUAGCGUUGUUCGGAUUUACUGGGCGUAAAGCGGACGUAGGCGGACUUUUAAGUCAGGGGUGAAAUCCCGGGGCUCAACCCCGGAACUGCCUUUGAUACUGGAAGUCUUGAGUAUGGUAGGGGUGAGUGGAAUUCCGAGUGUAGAGGUGAAAUUCGUAGAUAUUCGGAGGAACACCAGUGGCGAAGGCGGCUCACUGGACCAUUACUGACGCUGAGGUGCGAAAGCGUGGGGAGCAAACAGG
rnacentral:rRNA from 1 species